CAGGACGAACGCUGGCGGCGUGCUUAACACAUGCAAGUCGAACGGAGAAUUCAUUCCCGAAGUUUCGGAUGGAGGGAGCGGAUUUUAGUGGCGGACGGGUGAGUAACGCGUGAGCAACCUGUCCUGCAGAGGGGGACAACAACGGGAAACCGUUGCUAAUACCGCAUAAGACCACGGUCUCGCAUGGGGCUGAGGUAAAAAGGAGAAAUCCGCUGCAGGAGGGGCUCGCGUCCCAUUAGAUAGUUGGUGAGGUAACGGCUCACCAAGUCAGCGAUGGGUAGCCGGACUGAGAGGUUGAACGGCCACACUGGGACUGAGACACGGCCCAGACUCCUACGGGAGGCAGCAGUGGGGAAUAUUGGGCAAUGGGCGCAAGCCCUGACCCAGCAACGCCGCGUGAAGGAAGAAGGUCUUCGGAUUGUAAACUUCUGUCAUUGGGGACGAAGGAAGUGACGGUACCCAAUGAGGAAGCCCCGGCUAACUACGUGCCAGCCGCCGC
rnacentral:rRNA from 1 species